AACGAACGCUGGCGGCAUGCCUAACACAUGCAAGUCGAACGAGACCUUCGGGUCUAGUGGCGCCCGGGUGCGUAACGCGUGGGAACCUGCCCUUAGGUUCGGAAUAACUCCCCGAAAGGGGUGCUAAUACCGGAUAAUGUCUUCGGACCAAAGAGUUAUCGCCUUUGGAUGGGCCCGCGUUGGAUUAGCUAGUUGGUAGGGUAAAAGCCUACCAAGGCGACGAUCCAUAGCUGGUCUGAGAGGAUGAUCAGCCACACUGGGACUGAGACACGGCCCAGACUCCUACGGGAGGCAGCAGUGGGGAAUAUUGGACAAUGGGCGAGAGCCUGAUCCAGCAAUGCCGCGUGAGUGAUGAAGGCCUUAGGGUUGUAAAGCUCUUUUACCCGGGAUGAUAAUGACAGUACCGGGAGAAUAAGCUCCGGCUAACUCCGUG
rnacentral:rRNA from 1 species